rnacentral:snRNA from 1 species
GGUUGUGAGGGCGAUCUGGCUGUGAUAUCUGUCACCCCAUUGAUCACCAGGGUUGAUUCGGUUGAUCUGGCUGGUUAGGUAGGUGUCCCCUUCCUCCCUCACUGCUCCGUGUGUCCCUCCCGAAAAUGCGCACUGGGUGGAAGAGGACAACCUUCUCCAAUAGAGACUGACCGGUCUUCAGUCGAGUUUACACGAACAACUGCGCUGCCCUGCGAGAACCUCCAAACAAGCUAUAAAAUUAAUAAAUAUAACUCUAAUUUUUUGAGAUACUAAUGUAACUGUAGGAGAAAAUAAUUAAAGGAAUUUUUUCACGUAUCCCUUUUGAG